GUGCCAGCAGCCGCGGUAAUACGGAGGGUGCUAGCGUUGUUCGGAAUUAUUGGGCGUAAAGGGCGUGCAGGCGGCCUGAUAAGUCAGAUGUGAAAGCCCUGGGCUCAACCCAGGAAGUGCAUUUGAUACUGUCAGGCUUGAGUAUGGGAGAGGAGAGUGGAAUUCCCAGUGUAGAGGUGAAAUUCGUAGAUAUUGGGAGGAACACCCGUGGCGAAGGCGACACUCUGGACCAAUACUGACGCUGAUACGCGAAAGCGUGGGGAGCAAACAGGAUUAGAUACCCUUGUAGUCC
rnacentral:rRNA from 1 species